rnacentral:rRNA from 1 species
UACGGAGGAUGCAAGCGUUAUCCGGAAUGAUUGGGCGUAAAGCGUCCGCAGGUGGCUGUGUAAGUCUGCUGUCAAAGAGCAAAGCUCAACUUUGUAAAGGCAGUGGAAACUACACGGCUAGAGUGCGUUCGGGGCAGAGGGAAUUCCUGGUGUAGCGGUGAAAUGCGUAGAGAUCAGGAAGAACACCGGUGGCGAAGGCGCUCUGCUAGGCCGUAACUGACACUGAGGGACGAAAGCUAGGGGAGCGAAUGGG